rnacentral:lncRNA from 1 species
AGGAAAGAAAAAGGUUGAUCAAUCAUUUCUUACACUAGAAGAAAAUUUAGGGAAAAUGAAAGAUGAGUUGUACAACAAAGAUGAAUUGAUUAAAGUAAUAACAGAAGACUUAGGAAAGGUAAAACAUGAACUAGAAAUAACAUGCACAUGGAACAAGGCUUCUGAUGCACUCUCUUGGCUGCAAGAACAUCAUAGCAGCAGUAAGAGAGGAGUUGGAUUUGUGACACAAGCUCCAAAAUGGAAUCCCAAAAACAAGUACCUCACAUUUCCUGAGAAUAAGAUCUGCACACACUGUGGUAAGAUUGGCCAUUAUAAAAAUGAAUAUAAUAUUAAAGAAAAGGCCAGUCAAAAGAACAAAGUUUGUUCAAGAAAAGCACAAUCUGCCUGGUUGGGAAAAAAAAAUCUAAUUCAUCCUUUUGCUCAUAGAAAGGGACCCAAACUAGUUUGGUUCCUAAGACUAACCCAUGAUUUCUUUUUGCAAGUUCAAGUGAAGGGGAGUAGCCAAAUAUGGUACAUGGAUAAUGGCUGCUCAAAACAUAUGACUGGUAACAAGGACCAGUUCCUUUAACUUGAGAACCUAAAAAGAGGUAAUAUCUUUUUGAAAAUGGAAAGAAAGUUGAGAUCAUAGGAGUUGGAAAGGUAGGAAAGAUAGACUCUCAUUCCAUUGAGAAUGUCUAGUUGAUAGAUGGCUUGAAAUAUAGCCUGAUAAGUGUGUCACAACUGUGUGACAGAGGUAACCUUGUGGCUUUCACUUCCAUAAACUAUUUUGUGAUUAGCCUUACUACCGACAAGAUUGUUUUGCAGGGAAGAAGAGUUAACAAUAUUUACAUAGUAGAUUUGUUGUCUCUUUCUGAAAAUAAACUCACUUACUUGACUGUGUUAAUUAAUGAUCCCAUUCUUUGGCACAAAAAACUUGGUCAUGCUAGUCUAAAUCAAUUAAACAAAUUAGUUUCCAAGGACUUGGUGAUAGGGUCACCUAAUAUCAAGUUCAAGGAAGACAAAGUUUGUGAGGCAUGUGCAAGGGGGAAGCAGCUAAGUUCAUCCUUCAAAACUAAGAAAAUGGUAAGUAUGUCUAAGACGUUGAAACUGGUUCAAAUGGAUCUUUGUGGUCCAAAGAGAGCCAUGAGCAGAGGUGGUAAAAGAUAUCUUAUGGUGCUUGUUGAUGAUUAUUCUAGAUUUACUUGGGUGUUGUUUCUAACCUCUAAAGAUGAAGCAUUUGAAAUGUUUACUACUUUUGUUAGAAAAACCCAGAAACAAUUAGGAAAUUAACUUACAUCCAUUAGGUCUGAUCAUGGAACUGAAUUUGAAAAUGCAAAGUUUGCUGAAUUUUGUGAUGAAAAUGGAAAGAUCAUAAUUUUUAUGCCCGUAGAACUCCCCAGCAAAAUAGGGUAGUUGAGAGGAAGAAUAGGAUCCUUGAGGAUAUGGAAAGGACCAUGUUACUUUCCAGUAAACUACCUCAUAGCUUUUGGGUAGAGGCUAUAAACACUGCUUGCUAUAUAAGUAAAUUGAAUGAAGAAAGAAAAGGCGGACAGAAGGAACAUGUUCAACCAAGAAGGAACAAAGGAACAACCAAAGCUAUGGUUGCUGCAAUGGGAGACACGUCAAAUGAAUAUUCAGAAAAUGAAGCUGAAGAUGAGCAUGAGUUACUUAAAAGGAGAAAACCAAACAUAUCUCAUCUUAGGGCUUUUGGUUGCAAGUGUUAUGUGCACAAUAAUGGCAAAGACUCCCUAGGUAAGUGUGAUCCCAAAAGUGAUGAGGGAGUCUUCUUGGGAUAAUCUUCACAUAGGAAAGUAUAUAAAGUGUUUAAUAAAAGAACUCUAUGUGUUGAACAAAGUGUACAUGUUGAGUUUGAGAAAUCUAACACUCUUUCUAAGAGACAGGAACAUGAAGAUGAAGCCAUUGGACUGGUGAGACAAUUGACGACUUAAGUCACAGUAUAAGUUAAGGAGGCAUCCAAGGAAGGACCAGGUGAUGGAACAUGUCCUUUCACCCAUGGCAACUUGACAUGGGGAACAAAUCUGAGAGAAAUUGUACAAAAUUCUCUGAAGGAUCCUGUACCUGAACCUGUUCCUCUGCACCAUAGCAAUGAAGGAGAAGCUAGCAGAAACCAACUGGUGGGAAAAUCUUACAAGUACCUGAGUUCUCACCCCAUUGAGAACAUAAUCAAUGAUCCUACAUCUGGAGUCAAGGCUAGAUCACAACUGAGGAACCUGUGUGCAUUUGAUGCCUUUUUGUCCCUGAUUGAACCUAAAAAUGCGAGUGAAGCUCUACAAGAUGCGGAUUGGAUCAAUGAUAUGCAAGAUGAGCUCAAUCAGUUUGAAAGAAGCCAAGUCUGACACUUGGUUCCAAGACCUAAAGAGUGUCACAACUCCUUUUUUCACUAUACACCCCCGCAAAAGGGCGUAAAGGAGUUUUUUCAAUUAAAGGACAAUCGAAACGGGAUUUAUUUAUUAUUUAUUCAGAGUCGCCACUUGGGAGAUUAAUGGUGUCCCAAGUCACCGGUUGAAUCCGAACCGAGGAAAAAAAUGACUCUGUUCACAGUCUACGAACCAGAAAUCUGGAUAAGGGACUUUGUUAACCCGGGAGAAGGUGUUAGGCAUUCCCGUGUUCCUUGGUUCUAGUACGGUCGCUCAACUGUCAUAUUUAGCUUAUUUAUCCGAUUUUAUUAUAUGAAGAACCUAUGUGCCAAUUUUACUUUUUACCGCUUUUAUUUAAUAUAUAUUUAUUUGAGAAAGUGAACAUCGUUUAAAGUUUCUUUCGGAUUGCGCCGCCGAAUCCCGCAAUCCUAGGCAAACUCUAUCCAACAUUUUAGAACUUGGAUUUAGGCUGCAUAAAAUGCCCACCCGUAUUUAGGAAUGUAAUUUAUUAAAGCCGCGCCUAAUAGAGUCUAGCGCGUUCUAAUCUUUUGGGAGGAUUAUAUAUAUAUACAUAUAUAUAUAUGAGAAAGUGAACGUUGUUUAAAUUGUGCUUUCGGAUUGCGCCGCAUCAAAUGAACCCGCAAUCCUAGGCACGCUCUAUUCAACGUUUUAGGAUUUAGAUUUGGGCAGCAUAAAAUGCCCAUCCAUAUUUAGGAAUGUAAUUUAUUAUAGUCGCGCCUAAAAGAGUCUAGCACAUUAUUAUCUUUUGGGAGGGUCGUGAAAUUCACUAAACGACCCUUCCCGAUUUUCUAAAUAUUUUUAAACGUUUAUUUAGGGCCCCGCAAUUUGUAUUUUUGUUAGGCGUGGCUCAUCUCAUUUUAUUUUAAUAGGAUAAACCUAAAAGAUAGCUAUUUUUUUCUACCUUUGAUUUUAGUUUCUCUAAAAGAAAAGAAAAAUUCCUAAUUGAUUAUUAUUGGAGCUCGGGCUUUGAGCUCAAGUUCGGGCCCAAACAAAAGGACGACCCUUUUAGUUUAAAACUCACUACCUAACUCAAAACCCAAACUUACUAAAAAAAAAACUAACAAAUCAGUACUCAUCUAAUCCCGGGUCCGACCAACUCAAAUCAAGCGACAUGCAAAGUAAAACCAAAUUCUCAGUAAUAUUUGGCCCAAGCCCGAUUUCCAGAUACAUGUUAUGGGACUGGGCCUUCAGCUCACGUAACACAACCCAAAGGUUCUUGGGGAUCUGAUUCCCAAGAAGAAUAACGAUUGCUUGAAUAGACCCUCACAACUACAAUUUGACUCUGUUAGCUCUUUAAACCUGACUAGCAACUAGUAAUUAAGGAGAAAUGGCACUCACUUAGAUUAAUGAGACCAUAAUCUAACCAUUACAACACACACAUUAUACAUUUAGGCUAAUUAGCGCCACUCAAAUGGCCAGCCCAAAACUGUCCCUUAAAGCUAUUUCUAAUUAUGGACUGAACAUGAAAACAAUUCCCAAAGCUCCUAUCACGUUUCUGGGUCACUUGCUAACCAGGUUUUGAAACAAUCGAACUACUGGUAUUUCAAUUACCCAAACAACAGACUUGCACAUAUCUCCAGUUUCAUGAAUACAUACCUAGCUUAACACAAUCCAUUACAAAUUAAGAGUUAAACCCAAUCUAAAUUACAUAUUGUUCCAGUCCAGUACAAACAAGCUAAAAUUCAUCCAAACCAAGUCCUAAAUUAACUACAGUAAAAUAAAUAGACAACAAGUAAAAGAAACUUCAGCAAGCACCAGGUAUCAAUUGCAUUGUCACUUCACAGGAGAAAUUACAUCAGAGUAAGCUCAAGCGUGUACCUGGAAUUGAAUCACAAUAAGAGGAGAGAUCAGCAGCAGUCACAGUUAAUCACAAACAGCCCAUAAGUGAAAUCCGAAAUCCAGAAGUGUUUAAAUUGAACAAAAUUAAUAGAUUCACUCCAAACAACAUCGAAAUACCCCCAGAAAUGCGCACACAGAUGAACAAACGCCAACAAGGACACCCAAACUUCACUCAAUCAAACAAUUCCAACUCGAAGUCACUCAACACAACUCGAACCCAUCCAAGACUGAUCUAAUUAGAAUCCAGAAUCUUUCUGAAUUCUCAAAUAUCAAGAAACGAACCUCAGAAAUGUGAAUCGGCUAUCAAAACUAACAUUCAGCUAAGAAGCAGUAUAAACUUCACUUGAAAUCAUUCUAAACUAAGAAAAUGAAAUCCAAACACUUCAGAAGCUUGAAAUAUUCAUGAAAUCCUAAUGGAACAGUAUUUUUUUUGGUUUUCUGAAGUUUUAUAUUCCCAUUUUUUGUUUUCUUUCUAUGAAAGAUGAAAUCUAAAGGAAUUUGGACCUAAAAAGUUAAUUUGCAGGUGUUGGAGCCUGAGGAGUGUUUUUGGGGAAUUUUUAGAGGUCCCAAACUUGUAUGUUAAGGC